UGGGGUCGGGGUGGGCGCGCGGCCGGGCCCGGGCUGCGCGGCCUGGCGGGGAGCCGGGGACCCGGCCCGGGACUGCGAGUGACGCGCACAGCCUCCGGCCUGGCGCGGAGCUCCAUUCGGUCCCUGCCAGCAGCCUGUUCCACGGGCGGUCCCGGGUCGGGCUCCAGGGAAGAACGUUCCAGGGCCACCCAAGGACUCUCAGGCCCCGGGUGCAGCCUGGGGGACCGACGACGCGCGCGCUCCGGGUCCCCGGCCUUGUGCCCCGGGAGACCCCGCCCGCGCUGGUCCCCUCUGGACGCAGAGGCCGCCGCUCGGCGCGCCCCUGGGGCUGGGCCGCCAGUUCCCAGAACAGCUGACCGACUGCAGAGCUAGGACCGCGCGGGAUUAGACAUUGGCGGCUUCUCAGGAUGGUCCAACUUUUUCAAAAGGGCAGCUGGGCAACCCACAGAGGUUAAGCCUCUUGUUCGGAGUCCUGAAGUUCAAAGUGGGAAGGGACCUUAGGCCAAUACAGGUGUCCUUCGCCAGGGCCUUCACACCUGCUCAUGGCCGGAACUCUCGAGGAAAAGGCUUUUGUAGCGAGUCGUUGCAGAAGCAGUGCGCGCCUCCAUCCCCGCAGCCAGAGUGACCUGCCAAGGUCAGCUUCAAGCCUCACAGCUUUGAACUGUCGCUGAACAUCUGGGCUUCAUCUCAGUUUAUUUUCUGCAUCUAUUAGCAAGAGCAAUGGGAAGGCCAUGUUUGAGACACUGCUAUAAAUAGUAGGAGAAGAGGCGGGGCAGCAGAGAAGGCAUUUGCAGACACGAAACUGGUAUGAGCAGCAAGAUGGGACGAGAAUAAGAAGCCUUUGUUCCGUUUUCAUAUGAAGAGAUCUUCGACGGUGGAAUCCAGCGUCCAAAUUCGAAUCCUAAGUUUACAGCGAGAGAAGGAGCAGGUGGAAGGUGUCCACUCUUCCUUGAAGGAGAAGAGAGCGUGCCUGAUGAGUGGCACUCACUUCUGCCCGUCCAGAUCUCUCCGCGGAGACCGGGUGUCCCUCCUCCACGUCCUGGGGGAAACCUGUCACCUUUCUCAGUUCCCAGGGUUUCGGGAGAGGCCCAGGGUGACAGCCGCCUCUAAGCCCCAUAGCUUAUUCUCCCCAAGAGGUCCCCUCAGGAACCAGAGGCUCCCCCUGACAGCUAACUGUGCUAUCAGAGGCAGGCAGACCCCUCAAGCCGUCCUGUCAUUUCACUCAACAUCCGCUCUGUUCCCACUCACACCUGACACUCGGGGUCUCUAUUGACACCCAUGGAAGAAGACCUGCCAUAUGCCUUUGGCUCCUCAGAGCCACACGAACAGGGCACAUCCUCCUUUUACAGAUGCGGACCUGAGGCUUAGAAAGGUUAACAUGCUUUGUCCAAAGUCACAUAAGUCCAGGUGGCUUAUGAAGAAUUCACACCAUGUCUGUGGUUCUGGAGCACCUGCAGGCAGGUGUCCUCCUGCUCCGUGGUGAUGCUGCCCUUGAAUUUUCUUCUGGACUUUUCCCCCUAACUUUUAUAAGAGGACACGGUAUUUUUCCUUUUUUCUUUAGCGUUAGGGUUUGGUUUUCAUUUUUGUUUUGGUCAUUCUUUUUUUUUUCUU